AUUGAACGCUGGCGGCAGGCCUAACACAUGCAAGUCGAGCGGAUGAGGGAAGCUUGCUUCCCGAUUUAGCGGCGGACGGGUGAGUAAUGCCUAGGAAUCUGCCUAUUAGUGGGGGAUAACGUUCCGAAAGGAACGCUAAUACCGCAUACGUCCUACGGGAGAAAGUGGGGGAUCUUCGGAACUCACGCGAAUAGAUGAGCCUAGGUCGGAUUAGCUAGUUGGAGGGGUAACGGCUCACCAAGGCGACGGUCCGUAGCUGGUCUGAGAGGAUGAUCAGCCACACUGGAACUGAGACACGGUCCAGACUCCUACGGGAGGCAGCAGUGGGGAAUAUUGGACAAUGGGCGAAAGCCUGAUCCAGCCAUGCCGCGUGUGUGAAGAAGGUCUUCGGAUUGUAAAGCACUUUAAGUUGGGAGGAAGGGUUGUAAGCUAAUAUCUUGCAGCUUUGACGUUACCAACAGAAUAAGCACCGGCUAACUCUGUGCCAGCCGCCGCGGUAAAAC
rnacentral:rRNA from 1 species